CACCACAAAACGUCUCACCGGAGUCGAAUGCCCCUCUCUCUCUCUCUCUCUCUCUUCGAUGAGCCGACGUUAGCAGCAGCAGACGGCGAGAAACCAACCCUAACGCGAAGGUGACACCUGAAACGCUAAUCCAUAAAACCCUUACGCCUACCCAAAUCAACAAAAGCGCAUGGUGUCGCUGAGUCGGGCGGCCUGGAGGGCUCUGGGCCGCUCCCGACGACCAUGGCCGAGGCGACGACCGAGGUCUACCGCCACGGGAGGGAUAUCGGAGCCGAGGUCUGGGAGCCCGUCAGAGAGUGCCGAUGUCUCGUUUUUAAGUUCGGCACUAAUAGUGUUCCAAAAAUGACGUUUUGUGUCCCAAACGCGCCAUUGUUGUACGGAAUUGGACAGGGAUGGGAGAGGGCGAGCCGGCGUAAGUAUAGACUACCAUGGCUAGUUUUCUUGGAUCUUUGGUGACUCUCUUAGGUCAGAUGGCAGAUUGGCUGCGAUCAGCUUCCAAUUCGAUUUCCAGUCAGUAUCCGAAGAAUUGAGGGUUUCAGAUAUAAUUCUGUUGAUUAUGAUUCAAUUUGGUUGACUCAGACAAACGUUGAUCGAGAACAUUGUAGAUAUACAGGUUGAGACAGGGCUACAGGUGCUGCUUGUGCUUUAGGUAAGACAUCGGUGAUGAAAUGUUGUAACUAUGUCUAUCUCUUAAUUGGAACUGCAUGCUUUCCGCUAUUGACUUUUUUAAUUACUGGAUGCCCAGCAUAUGAAAUAUUUGAUCAAUUAUGACUUUGUUGGAUCCUUAGAGGAUUAUUUAUGCCACAUUGGUCAAACAGGCUGGCUCAAGCAACUGGAACAGCCCAUAUCUUUUCCUGCAGCUAAUAUAGUAGAAAAGGAUUGGCUAAAAUGUCUCAAAAGUGUCCACCUGCAGUUUAUUCUACAGUUCUCUUUUGUUUCACCAUCAUAUGGGUUAUUAUGAAGUGCUGUUUCUUUUAUAUCUAAUCAUCUUUUGCUUUCCCCCUUUACUUCUGCUUGCUGAUGCAACUGUCUUUUUUUUUUUUAUUAUGAUCUUAUGGUACUCAAAUAUGCUAUCAAGUUACUCAAGUGUGAGGAUGUGAUAUAUAUGAAAUGUAGAACACAUGUCCUAGUUGCUCAACCACCUCGGGCAGUCAAUGGGACUUUCAGGUGCAGUGUCGAGCAAAAUCACGAAUAUAUAUUUUUGGAAUGCUCAUUGUGUUUUGCAGUGCUAUGCAUGACAAAGUCAUAUGACCACAAUCUUAACAGGUCAUUGACAUUUGUGAUCGCGGGAGAGGCUAUGGCAGUGGUUGCCCAUGGAACUAACAUAUGAUUGACUGUUUGGUUGCUCAAAUGUUUGAGGCAACGAAUUGCCAGUUAGUGAGGUGCUCUCGAUGGUUGAUUGAGAUUUUGACUUGGAGACAAUUCACUGCAAGCAGUGAGACAUUUGGCACCAAUAACACAGUGUUGAAGUUUAUCCGUCUUUGAACGGUAGUCAUCAGCUAUUAUUUUAAUCUUCCAAGAGUGGAAUUUUCUCAUGUUUGGAAGGCAAUCGACAAGAUCAAGACGAAUUGGGACAGCUGGAGGAUAUCGCUCCAUUUUGGUACGCAGAGCAUUAGUAAUGACAAUUCUUACACAUCUCUAAAGGCUAUAGAUCCCAAACAAGAUCUGGUCAUGUAAUUGUAGUGCCUUUUGGACCAUAUUAUCUAGGCUAUUACCAGUGUUUUUUCUGUCAUGCUCAGAACAUAUACAUACCAAAUGUUAGACAUCGAACAAACAGAAAAUGAACUCUGUGGUAUUUUGGCUAGUUUUCUUACUACCGGCCAGCAAAAACGAAAUGUAAUAUUUGAAUUUACCACCA